rnacentral:lncRNA from 1 species
UGCCUAUCUCGGCCUCCCAAAGUGCUGGGAUUACAGGUGUGAGCCACUGCGCCUGGCCUGCUGCAUGUUUUUAUCAUAGUGAGUUCAGGAAUUCUCAGGUGUUGCUGCAUCUUUUGAGAUGACUAUGUGGUUUUGUUUUUUAUCAUAUUAAUAUAGUGCAUGGCAUUAAUUGUACUUGAAUGUUGAACCAAAUGUUGCUUUCCUGAGGUAAAUACCCUUGACAUAUUUUAUAAUACUUUUUACAUGUUGCUGAUUUGUUUUACUAGGAUUUCCUUGAUGAUUUUUGGCUCUAUAUUCGUAAGGUGUGUUCUUAAUUUUCAUUAUUUGAAAUCUGUUUGUCUAGUUGCGGUAUCAGGGUAAACCAACUCACAGUAUAAAUGAAAUGCGAUGCCUUCUCCACUUUGUUGUUGUUGUUUUUAACAACUUAUUAUAAAUUAAUAUUAAUUGUUAAGUGAUUCCAAUAACUGACUAAUGAAUUAUCUUGACUGGGGCAAGGAAGCAAAUCCUAGGAACAAUCACGUGAGCUUGGAAGGAGACCUUUCCCCAGCUGAGCCUCAGCCUGGGCCAUCACCUGCAUCUGGACUGAAGACCCAAAGAAACUACUCCAUCAGGAAUUGUUUGAGACCAUGCAUUAUGUGGACACUCAUAUCGUGGAAUUAUAUUGCCAAUUGGCAUUCCUAAAGCUUCUACGCUAGCAGGUUUGGAGUAAUUCACCAGUGAAGUCUUCUCAACCUGGGCAAUCAUGUGAGCUUGGAAGAUGAUGCAUCCCCAUCUCAUCUUUCAGGUGAAACCUCAGCCUUGGCCAUCACCUACAUCUGGAUUUCUGACCCAGAGAAACUUUGGUGUACUGUGGUUUCUGUAUUAAGGUCUGGUCUACAGAGAAGAGAGAUCAGGGAGCUCUUCAGUUGUACCCAGCCUCCCCACACAAAUCUACCUAACAAAGUCCUGAUAAACAGCUGGAGUACAGUGGCAUGAUUUCAGCUUACCGCAAAC